rnacentral:rRNA from 1 species
UUGAGAGUUUGAUCCUGGCUCAGGAUGAACGCUGGCGGCGUGGAUAAGGCAUGCAAGUCGAACGAGCCUUUGGCUCGAACAAUUGACAGUUAACAAUCAACACUUAACUACAAAAAACAUGCAAACGUUCAGAUUCUUAGACUUUCCUGUUUAUAAAGAUUCUAAGAAAUUCUAUAGAAUGGUAGUUGGUGUUACGGAAAAAUUUUCGAAAACUCAUAAUGACUUGGUCAGGCAGUUAAUAAGAGCGGUUUUAUCCGUUUCGUUGAACAUAGCGGAAGGAUCGGCGAAGAAAUCAGAUAAGGAUUUCAAUCGUUAUAUCGAAAACGCUUUGGGUUCAAUCAAUGAAUCGGUUGCCGCUUUGGAUAUAGCUUACGAAAGUUCACUUAUAAAUUUAGAUUGUUUUAAAUUUUUGAAACAAUCGGCGGAACAAAUCGCCAAACAACUUGGCGGGUUGUCGAAAAAAUUAAAAGGUUAAUUGUAAAAAGUUAAGUGUUAAUUGUUCGAGUUGAAGGCGAGUGGCAAACGGGUUAGUAACGCGUAGGCAACUUACCUUGAAGUCUUGAAUAAUUCAUCGAAAGGUGAACUAAUACAAGAUGGAAAUGAGGGGACGAAAGUCAUUCUCAUUUAAAGGGUGCAGCAAUGCACUUGCUUCUAGAGAGGCCUGCGUCCUAUCAGCUAGUUGGUGAGGUAAUGGCCCACCAAGGCUAUGACGGGUAGGGGGACUGAGAGGUUGGCCCCCAACAUCGGGACUGAGACACUGCCCGGACUCCUACGGGAGGCUGCAGUCAAGAACCUUUCUCAAUGGGCGAAAGCCUGAAGAAGCGACGCCGCGUGUAUGAAGAAGUCCUUCGGGAUGUAAAAUACUUUUGCCGCCCAACAAUUUUUGAGCGUAAGCGGCGAAUAAGGGGCUCCUAAACUCGUGCCAGCAGGAGCGGUAAUACGAGUGCCUCAAGCGUUAUCCGGAAUUACUGGGCGUAAAGCGUUUGUAGGGGGUUUUGAUAGUCCUGUGUUAAAUUCUAAGGCUUAACUUUAGAACCGCGCGGGAAACGUCAAGACUAGAGGAUAUGAGAGGCUGAUGGAA